GGCGCCCCGCCGAGCCUCAUAGCCUUCCAUAACUCAGUCUGGGCUCUGCCCGCUGUGGACGGAUGUGUUCAGCUCUCCACCUGGGCGACAGGUCCCGCUGUUUGGCUCACGAACCUGUUCAGCUUGGCCUGACCCGGAUGGAAGACCAUAAACUCUCUGAAGAGACACGCAGGAGGUCACAGGAAGAUUUCCUUACAGUAUCUUCCCAGGACACGGGGACUUUGGCUCUUACACGCCUCUUGCUGUCUUGUUUCCAUUGAAGCCCCCUCUCAACCAUCUGCUCUUCUAUUCAACGGGGUCUUCGGCCCCGGGCCUGGCACCGAAGGUCAGUGUGUGUGUGUCUUGGACAAUGACCCAGCCAGACAACCCCCCACACACACUUCAAACACAACUCGCUGAGACCUUACACCGCGACCAGUCCAUAGGCAUCUUUCAAGAUGGGUGUUAGGUGCAUGCAGAGGUAUGAGAUGAUUGUUUUUUAUCCAGCAAAAGGCAUCAAGAAGAAACCUAUGUCCAGCCACCGUUUGGACUUUGAUCUGGCACUUCACUUUCAGCGUGGCGAUUCAUGGCUCUCUUCCAUCUGGGAACCAUCUGACUGAGACUUCAGUGGGCAGGAAGAGUUGUCCUCCUGACUGGAGAGAUGAAGACGAAAGAGGAGGAGAGAGAAGGUCCAGUCAUGUUUUCACAGACGGCUCUUAAAUUGGCCGUGUGCAGAGGAGGCGACUCAUAAUUCCAGUUAAUGGGUCUCCAGUAAAAAGCAGAGUGGCCAAAGUGUUUUGAGAAGCAGCAAGUCUCAAAUGAAACUUAACUCGAUGCUGAACACAAAAAUGUUUAGUGCAGUCGAUAAUGUGAUUUUGAUCAGCUGUUCUAUUACAUAGGGGGGAUGUUUACAACAAGAUGUGGCAUGAUUUAGUUUCUUAAGUCAUAUAAUUAGUGGAGGACUUGUUUUAAAGUUCAGGACCAGUUUUGUCACAUUAUAUUUAAAUACACAACGACCUCAUUUAAAGCACUUGCCGAUACAUGAUUAGUCAUUUCACUGAUCGAUUCUGUCUGUAUUUUUUAGCAGUUCAUCAGGAAAGAGCUACUUAAUUGUGAUGGGAAGAAAUGGGUAGAAUUCAAAUAGAGAUUGACCAAUUUUCAUUCCACACUCUCUCUAUUCAUUUAGGGUUAGGGUUAGGCUUUUAUGGUCUAAUUUCCCCUUGAUACAGCUCAUGUGUGCUAAAACAAGUAUGCAAGAUUUUGCAGAUAGUGAAUCUUCACAAAACCAAUAUGGAAAAAUGUUUUGUCCAGUUGAAUUUCUGUAUGUGCAUAUAUUACUAAUAAGAGUGCACCACUUUACAACAAGAUUGUGAUAGUUGUCCAAAUGCAAAAUCUUGCAUACUUAUUGUGAAAGGUGAUUUUCUUUUUCCUUUCAAAAAAUAACCAUGCCUGAGCAAAAGUGAGAUUGUAUGUGUGAUUUUUGGUCAAACUCCAUCUGCAGAGGAAGCUUUAUUAAUACGAUUGGAAAAUUCUGGUGAGAUUGUUUUGUGAACUGCUGUUUAAAGACCAAGAAUCUCUUUUUUCGAGGAAUGCCCAUUAAAAAUCCUUUCUUCCAAAGUUUAAAGUUCAAAGCAUUUGGAGCUUUGGCACCAGAGAUGUAAAAUUGAGAAUAACUGGACAAAAUAACUAUCAUUCAAUCAAACAUGUCCCGAAAGUCCUCCAGCCUAAAUGUUAUUGUCCAUUUGUCCCUGCCCUCAGAUUGGAAGCACAACAGUGUGGAUGUAUGACCCUUUGUUGGCUUAGCAACAAUAAUAAACACGUGAUUAAGUCA